ensembl:lincRNA
CAGUAACUCAGCGUGACUUUCACUCUCAUUUCUAGCAGAUAUUACAGUGAGAGAUGAGCAUUUCAGUUUGCAGCUGACAGUUUAGGGUUAAGAUAUGAUUCCAGGUAACAGAAGCCAAUGAGAGUACACCCAGUUGAUGUUUGUGACAUCAUCUUCCAGUCGGAAUACAUAGAACAGCCGAGGUAGCGUUCAGUUUCAGCCCCAGUGCCAUCAUGAUGGAUGUUUACAUCUCUUCAUUGAGAGCCAAUUAUCUGGCUUUUGUGUGAGGCCCAAGGAUCACUCAUGCUGCCUGGCUGCACAGAGCACUGUUGGAUCUAGCUGAACGAAUUGUUUUCUGUCUCUGUGUCAAGGCAGAGGAACUGGCCCAUAUUAGAAUUGCAAAGAUGAAAAUAUAAUCCAGAGAAGUCAAGCAGUGGCUAUUUUGCCAAGAAGUUUUACAAGACACAGGCCAUUUGCUUAUACAAUAAUGGUGAAGCUGCAGUAUAAAGACAUGUCAUCAGACAAGAACAAAACCAACAGGUCUAUGCCCCCCUUUCUUGCAAUGUUAUAAACCCUGAUAGGUUGUGAAGAUUAGAGAUACGGAAGGUGAUGUUAUAUCAUGAAAAUGGGUACAGUGGCAGGAAACAAAGAAUGUGACAAGCCACCCAGGAAAGAAAAGGCCCAACUCGGCAGACUGUGCUCCACAGCAUUUAAAUUCUCUCCUCACCCCUCUCGCUGUAUCUGCUCUACCCUCCCACGGAGCCUUGGCUGCACCAACUCCUCAGUGAGUGGAUUCCUCUGAACCUCCUUCACUCCUGACCUCCCCAGAUUUGAAUCUUCCUGCAAGUAUUGCCAGUCUUUUAAAUCACCACUGAACUUGAACUAUCUAGGACAGUGCCCAGAGUAAGAAUAUCUUCUAUAUACAGAUGGAUCUGUAAAUGAAUAGGGCAGAAAACCAGAAAUCAGCAAACCAUGUAUUUGUGCCGAGAAAAAGAAAGUACUGAGAUAGUAGUGAAUGUUAAUCAUAGGGGGAAAAACAUUGAAUGAACUACUGAAAAUAUUCAUAAAACACUUUCCCUUCUCUACAGAUUUCUUUCCACUAAUAUGUGGAUGACUCCAUAAUUAAUUCUAUUAAAUAAGCAUUUAAGGAAGAAUAUAGGUUAUACAUUUGAGUUAUGUGCAGAGUAAUAGAACUGUCAACCUGUAAACUCUGUUAUUAAUACAGCAAUGUUCAUUUGGGACACAGAUAUUUGAAGGCUAGGAAGAGGUGAAGACUAGCUCUAAAAACUGAGGGUGUGUGCAUUCUGUAAGACCACUAUCAGGCAUUACUGAUGCUACUGAACCUUGAGAGUGUAACUGAGCACGCGGUGGUCAGUCAUACGAAAGGCAACAGAAAGGCUCAAAACAUGAGAAGGAGGAAAACUGCAACUUAAAUGGAAGGAAGGUCACUGGUAGCCUUAAAAAGUAGCUUAAGAUACAAGACAACAAGAAGCCCAGCAGGAAAUGGAGGUCGUGUUCGGGCAAUUUAUAAUUGAAACGGAAUAAAGACCUGCUAGACAGAACUUUCGAAUAAUGAAUUUCUUCAGAAAUGGAACUCCUUUACUUGGUGGACACGUGUGGGGGGA